rnacentral:rRNA from 1 species
GGACGACCAGCCACACUGGAACUGAGACACGGUCCAGACUCCUACGGGAGGCAGCAGUGGGGAAUUUUGGACAAUGGGCGCAAGCCUGAUCCAGCAAUGCCGCGUGAGUGAAGAAGGCCUUCGGGUUGUAAAGCUCUUUUGUCAGGGAAGAAACGGCUGUGGCUAAUAUCCACGGCUAAUGACGGUACCUGAAGAAUAAGCACCGGCUAACUACGUGCCAGCAGCCGCGGUAAUACGUAGGGUGCAACCGUUAAUCGGAAUUACUGGGCGUAAAGCGUGCGCAGGCGGUUUUGUAAGUCUGUCGUGAAAUCCCCGGGCUCAACCUGGGAAUUGCGAUGGAGACUGCAAGGCUAGAAUCUGGCAGAGGGGGGUAGAAUUCCACGUGUAGCAGUGAAAUGCGUAGAGAUGUGGAGGAACACCGAUGGCGAAGGCAGCCCCCUGGGUCAAGAUUGACGCUCAUGCACGAAAGCGUGGGGAGCAAACAGGAUUAGAUACCCUGGUAGUCCACGCCCUAAACGAUGUCUACUAGUUGUCGGGUUUUAAUUAACUUGGUAACGCAGCUAACGCGUGAAGUAGACCGCCUGGGGAGUACGGUCGCAAGAUUAAAACUCAAAGGAAUUGACGGGGACCCGCACAAGCGGUGGAUGAUGUGGAUUAAUUCGAUGCAACGCGAAAAACCUUACCUACCCUUGACAUGUCA